rnacentral:tRNA from 1 species
UGGCUCAUUUGGUAGAGCAUGGUGUUUGCAAUGCCAGGGUUGUGGGUUCAAUUCCCAC